CAAAAUAUAGCUACAAAAGAAGCGUUUCUUUUACAAAGAAAAAAGAUUUGUGAAAUUCAAAUUAUUUUGA
rnacentral:tRNA from 3 species